rnacentral:rRNA from 1 species
GAUGAGCGCUGGCGGCGUGCCUAAUACAUGCAAGUCAAGCGAACAGACGAGGAGCUUGCUCCUCUGACGUUAGCGGCGGACGGGUGAGUAACACGUGGAUAACCUACCUAUAAGACUGGUAUAACUUCGGGAAACCGGAGCUAAUACCGUAUAAGAUAUUGAACCGCAGGGUUCAAUAGAGAAAGACGGUGUUGGUGGCACGUAUAGAUGGAUACGCGCCGCAUUGGCUAGUUGGUAAGGUAACGGCUUACCAAGGCAAGGAUGCGUAGCCGACCUGAGAGGGGGAUCGGCCACACUGGAAGUGAGACAGCGUCCAGACUCCUACGGGAGGCAGCAGUAGGGAAUCUUCCGCAAUGGGCGAGAGUCUGACGGAGCAACGGCGCGUGAGUGAUGAAGGUCUUCGGAUCGUAAAACUCUGUUAUUAGGGAAGAACAAAUGUGUACGUAACUAUGCACGUCUUGACGGUACCGAAUCAGAAAGCCACGGCUAACUACGUG